UAUAUUUAAGUGUUUUAUGCACUAAAGAUUUUGAUUCUUUCAGAUUUAAAUAAAAAUUAAAAAAUAUAA
rnacentral:tRNA from 1 species